rnacentral:rRNA from 1 species
AGUGAACGCUGGCGGUAGGCCUAACACAUGCAAGUCGAACGGCAGCACAGUAAGAGCUUGCUCUUACGGGUGGCGAGUGGCGGACGGGUGAGGAAUACAUCGGAAUCUACUUUUUCGUGGGGGAUAACGUAGGGAAACUUACGCUAAUACCGCAUACGACCUACGGGUGAAAGCAGGGGAUCUUCGGACCUUGCGCGAUUGAAUGAGCCGAUGUCGGAUUAGCUAGUUGGCGGGGUAAAGGCCCACCAAGGCGACGAUCCGUAGCUGGUCUGAGAGGAUGAACCGCCCAACCUGAAACUGGAACACGUCCCAACCCCCAACGGAGGCAGCAGUGGGGAAUAUUGGACAAUGGGCGCAAGCCUGAUCCAGCCAUACCGCGUGGGUGAAGAAGGCCUUCGGGUUGUAAAGCCCUUUUGUUGGGAAAGAAAAGCAGCAGGUUAAUACCCCGCUGUUCCGACGGUACCCAAAGAAUAAGCACCGGCUAACUUCGUG